GUCCGCCCCCGCUUUAAAACGCCCACAGCUUCCUUUCCUCAACCUGUGUCCUCCUUCCUUGGCCGCUGACCACCUCGCUCCCCUCCCCUUGGAAUCCGCGGACCCAUGGCUUCUUAAACAACUCGGACCUGCGGAAGCACAGCGCAUCACACCGGAGGUUGCUUCUGCUGUUCCUCCUCGCCCUCGCCGCGGAAGAAUCUUGGUCCUGAUUCUCGGAGGGUCUUGAUGGGGAUCUGCGCGUCAUCGGAGCACCUCGCCCAGCAGGGGCAGGAGGCGGACGAGAGCAUCGUCUAUGUCAUGGACGAGGAAGGAGGAGGCGGCGCGUCGUCGCCGAGGAAGGUGGCCUCCCUCUUCUCCCAGAAGGGCAAGAAAGGCCCCAACCAGGACGCCGUCAUCCUCUGCCAGGGAUUCGGCAUGGAGGGCGGCGUGUUCUGCGGCGUGUUCGACGGCCACGGCAGGUGCGGCCACUUGGUGAGCAAGCUGGUGAGGGACUACCUCCCCUUCAUGGUCCUGAGCCACCGGAACGCGCUGCUCCUGGCGGACGCGGACGCGGACGCCGACGACCCCGUGUUCAGCGACGCCUCGCCGUCGUCCUCCGCGGACAGCAGCGGCAACUCGUCGCCGCACCCGUCGCAGAUGCUGGGGGAGUGGAGGGAGGCCUGCACCAAUGCGUUCAAGGCCAUGGACAACGAGCUCAAGCUGCAGGCCAACAUGGACUGCAACUUCAGCGGCACCACGGCAGUGUGUGCCAUCAAGCAGGGCAAGGAUCUGAUCAUUGCCAACCUCGGAGACUCGAGGGCGGUUCUUGCGACCAUGUCUGGGGCCGGCUACCUCAAGGCCGUACAGCUCACCACCGACCAGAAGCCCGGCCUGCCUGAGGAGGCGGAGAGGAUCAAGAGGUGCGAGGGGCGCGUGUUCGCGCUGAGGGAGGAGCCGGGCGUGAUGCGGGUGUGGCUGCCCGGCGAGAACCUCCCGGGGCUGGCCAUGGCGCGCGCGCUGGGGGACUCGAGGCUGAAGCACCACGGGGUCAUCUCGACGCCGCAGGUGACGGGGCACCGGAUAGGCGACGCGGACCUGUUCAUCAUCCUGGCCACGGACGGGGUGUGGGACGUGCUGAGCAACGAGGAGGUGGUGUCCAUCGUGUGCGCCACGCCGCGGAAGCAGCACGCGUCCAAGGCCGUGGUGGAGGCGGCGGUGCAGAGGUGGAAGACCAAGUACCCGUCCUCACGGGUGGACGACUGCUCCGCGGUCUGCCUCUUCCUGCACGACCACGGCGCGUCGGCGCCGCAGCGGCCAGGAAGCUCUAGCUAGCCGGCGCUCGGGGAGAAGGAGAGGGGUCAAAGAUAAGAUACUCUCAGGCUCCGGCAAUAGGCCGGCCGUUCAGCUCCAUUUUGUACAUGGUUUUCCUUCUUUUUUUGCCGGGGUUUUGCUUUUCUUUUUUUGCAAAUGUGAUGCAAAUACUUUUCUAGGUUUGUGUAAGUGUAACAUAGUUUCGGCUCAAGAAAAAAUAGUGAAGAAAUCACGUUUGCGAUGCUUUGCAUAGAAAAGACAAAACAGACAGCUCGAACUGCUUU
rnacentral:rRNA from 1 species